AGCGAACGCUGGCGGUAGGCCUAACACAUGCAAGUCGAACGGCAGCACAGUAAGAGCUUGCUCUUACGGGUGGCGGGUGGCGGACGUGUGAGGAAUACAUCGGACUCUACUUUUUCGUGGGGGAUAACGUAGGGAAACUUACGAUAAUGUAGCAUACGACGUACGGGUGAAAGCAGGGGAUAUUCGGACCUUGCGCGAUUGAAUGAGCCGCUGACGGAUUAGCUAGUUGGCGGGGUAAAGGCCCACCAAGGCGCCGAUCCGUAGCUGGUCUGAGUGGAUGAGCAGCCACACUGGGACUGAGACACGGUCCAGACUCCUACGGGAGGCAGCAGUGGGGAAUAUUGGACAAGGGGCGGAAGACUGAUCCAGCCAUACCGCGUGGGUGAAGAGGGCCUUCGGGUUGUAAAGCCCUUUUGUUGGGAUAGAAAAGCAGCAGGUUAAUACCCCGCUGUUCUGACGGUACCCAAAGAAUAAGCACCGGCUAACUUCGUU
rnacentral:rRNA from 1 species